UACGAAGGGAGCUAGCGUUGUUCGGAAUUACUGGGCGUAAAGGGCGCGUAGGCGGUUUGGCAAGUUGGAUGUGAAAGCCCAGGGCUCAACCCUGGAAUUGCAUUCAAGACUGCCUUACUUGAAUUCGGUAGAGGUUGGUGGAAUUCCCAGUGUAGAGGUGAAAUACGUAGAGAUUGGGAAGAACACCAGUGGCGAAGGCGGCUAUCUGGACGGUUACUGACGCUAAGACGCGAAAGCGUGGGGAGCAAACAGG
rnacentral:rRNA from 1 species